UACGGGGGGGGGCAAGCGUUGUUCGGAAUUACUGGGCGUAAAGGGCUCGUAGGUGGCCAACUAAGUCGGACGUGAAAUCCCUCGGCUUAACCGGGGAACUGCGUCCGAUACUAGUUGGCUUGAGUUUGGGAGAGGGAUGCGGAAUUCCAGGUGUAGCGGUGAAAUGCGUAGAUAUCUGGAGGAACACCGGUGGCGAAGGCGGCAUCCUGGACCAAUACUGACGCUGAGGAGCGAAAGCCAGGGGAGCAAACGGG
rnacentral:rRNA from 1 species